AAACCAACAGGGAUUGCCCUAGUAACGGCGAGUGAAGCGGCAACAGCUCAAAUUUGAAAUCUGGCCCUAGCGGUCCGAGUUGUAAUUUGCAGAGGAUGCUUUUGGCGCGGUGCCUUCUGAGUUCCCUGGAACGGGACGCCAGAGAGGGUGAGAGCCCCGUACGGUUGGACACCUAGCCUAUAUAUAGCUCCUUCGACGAGUCGAGUAGUUUGGGAAUGCUGCUCUAAGCGGGAGGUAAAUUUCUUCUAAAGCUAAAUACCGGCCAGAGACCGAUAGCGCACAAGUAGAGUGAUCGAAAGAUGAAAAGCACUUUGAAAAGAGGGUUAAAUAGCACGUGAAAUUGUUGAAAGGGAAGCGUUUGCGACCAGACCUUUUCUAGGGGGAUCAUCUGGUGUUCUCACCGGUGCACUCCCCGUAGUUUAGGCCAGCAUCGGUUUUCUUAGGGGGAUAAAGGCCUGGGGAACGUAGCUCUUUAGGGAGUGUUAUAGCCCCUGGCAUAAUACCCCUCGGGGGACCGAGGACCGCGCUUCGGCAAGGAUGCUGGCGUAAUGGUCGUCAACGAC
rnacentral:rRNA from 1 species